CAGCAGCCGCGGUAAUACGUAUGGACCGAGCGUUGUCCGGAAUCAUUGGGCGUAAAGGGUACGUAGGCGGCCCAGUAAGUUAGAAGUGAAAUAAUAUAGCUCAACUAUAUAAAGCUUUUAAAACUGCUAGGCUUGAGAGAUGGAAGGGAAAGUGGAAUUCCUAGUGUAGCGGUGAAAUGCGCAGAUAUUAGGAAGAAUACCGGUGGCGAAGGCGACUUUCUGGUCAUCAUCUGACGCUGAGGUACGAAAGCUUGGGUAGCAAACAGGAUUAGAUACCCUGGUAGUCCACGCUGUAAACGAUGAGUGUUAGGUUCUUGGAAUAAUCUGGGAGCCGCAGCUAACGCAUUAAACACUCCGCCUGGGGAGUACGCACGCAAGUGUGAAACUCAAAGGAAUUGACGGGGACCCGCACAAGCAGCGGAGCAUGUGGUUUAAUUCGACGCAACGCGAAGAACCUUACCAAGUCUUGACAUAAUACGGAGGGAAUUAGAGAUAGUUUCUUAAGACUUCGGUCUACUGUAUUACAGGUGGUGCAUGGUUGUCGUCAGCUCGUGUCGUGAGAUGUUGGGUUAAGUCCCAUAACGAGCGCAACCCCUAUCGUUAGUUACCAUCAUUAAGUUGGGGACUCUAGCGAUACUGCCGGUGAUAAACCGGAGGAAGGUGGGGACGACGUCAAAUCAUCAUGCCCUUUAUGACUUGGGCUACACACGUGCUACAAUGGCAGAUACAGAGGGCAGCGAAAGAGCGAUCUGAAGCGAAACUCAAAAAACCUGUCCCAGUUCGGAUUGUACUCUGCAACUCGAGUACAUGAAGUUGGAGUUGCUAGUAAUCGCGAAUCAGAAUGUCGCGGUGAAUGCGUUCCCGGGUCUUGUACACACCGCCCGUCACACCAUGGGAGUUGGCAAUACCCGAAGCCUGUGAGCGAACCUUUUAGGACGCAGCAGUCGAAGGUAGG
rnacentral:rRNA from 1 species